rnacentral:snoRNA from 1 species
ACGACCUUACUUGAACAGGAUCUAUUCUAUAGGAUCGUACUGCUGCAUCCUUGACUAAUAAGGAGGCAAGCACCUAAGCUUGGUUGAUGACAUUUGACCUGUGGGCCAGAGCGUGAUUAAUGGCGUAGAUCAGUAGCUGCUGACCUGUGGAGGAUCGUUCCUGUCCAGCUCUGGCUGGCCGAGGUGGCUCAAAGGUUGUCUGACAGGCU